GAUGAACGCUAGCGGCAGGCUUAAUACAUGCAAGUCGAGGGGUAGCAAGAUUGUAGCAAUACAAUUGUUGACGACCGGCAAACGGGUGCGGAACACGUACACAACCUUCCUACAAGUGGGGAAUAGCCCAGAGAAAUUUGGAUUAAUACCCCGUAACAUAGCGAUGUGGCAUCACAUUGCUAUUAUAGCUACGGCGCUUGUUGAUGGGUGUGCGGCUGAUUAGAUAGUUGGCGGGGUAACGGCCCACCAAGUCUACGAUCAAUAGCUGAUGUGAGAGCAUGAUCAGCCACACGGGCACUGAGACGCGGGCCCGACUCCUACGGGAGGCAGCAGUAAGGAAUAUUGGACAAUGGACGCAAGUCUGAUCCAGCCAUGCCGCGUGAAGGAUUAAGGUCCUCUGGAUUGUAAACUUCUUUUAUAAGGGACGAAAAAAGGUCUUUCUAGAUCGUCUGACGGUACCUUAUGAAUAAGCACCGGCUAACUCCGUGCCAGCCGCCGCGGUAACAC
rnacentral:rRNA from 1 species